UGGGGAAUAUUGGACAAUGGGCGAAAGCCUGAUCCAGCCAUGCCGCGUGUGUGAAGAAGGUCUUCGGAUUGUAAAGCACUUUAAGUUGGGAGGAAGGGCAGUAAGUUAAUACCUUGCUGUUUUGACGUUACCAACAGAAUAAGCACAGGCUAACUUCGUGCCAGCAGCCGCGGUAAUACGAGGGUGCAAGCGUUAAUCGGAAUUACUGGGCGUAAAGCGCGCGUAGGUGGGUCAGCAAGUUGGAUGUGAAAUCCCCGGGCUCAACCUGGGAACUGCAUCCAAAACUACUGAUCUAGAGUACGGUAGAGGGUGGUGGAAUUUCCUGUGUAGCUGUGAAAUGCUGAGAUAUAGGAAUGAACACCAGUGGCGAAGGCGACCACCUGGACUGAUACUGACACUGAGGUGCGAAAGCGUGGGGAGCAAACA
rnacentral:rRNA from 1 species